rnacentral:rRNA from 11 species
CAGCGCCCGUCGCUACUACCGAUUGAAUGGUUUAGUGAGGUCGUUGGAUUGGCGUCGUUGUAGUGGCUUUGCCGCUCGACUGAUACUGAGAUGACCUAAUUUGAGGAAGUAAAAGUCGUAACAAGGUUUCCGUAGGUUCACCUACGGAAG